rnacentral:rRNA from 1 species
GUUGAUCCUGGCUUAGGAUGAACGCUAGCUACAGGCUUAACACAUGCAAGUCGAGGGGCAGCAUUGGGAUAGCUUGCUAUUCAGAUGGCGACCGGCGCACGGGUGAGUAACGCGUACUCCAACCUUCCUGCCAGUAGGGAACAGCCCGGCGAAAGUCGGAUUAAUGCCCUAUGUUCUUCAAUGCGGACAUCUAAGUUGAAGGAAAGAUUCAUCGCUGGCAGAUGGGGAUGCGUCCGAUUAGCUUGCCGGCGGGGUAACGGCCCACCGGGGCGACGAUCGGUAGGGGUUCUGAGAGGAAGGUCCCCCACACUGGUACUGAGACACGGACCAGACUCCUACGGGAGGCAGCAGUGAGGAAUAUUGGUCAAUGGGCGUAAGCCUGAACCAGCCAAGUAGCGUGCAAGGAUGACGGCCCUACGGGUUGUAAACUGCUUUUAUGCGGGGAUAAAGUGCGGCACGUGUGCCGCUUUGCAGGUACCGCAUGAAUAAGGACCGGCUAAUUCCGUGCCAGCCGCCGC